rnacentral:tRNA from 1 species
UCCUGUAUAGCUAAGUCGGUUAAAGCACUACAUUGUUAGUAGAGACCGGUGGUUCGAAUCCACCUACAGGAA